rnacentral:ribozyme from 1 species
UUCGAAAAGAAACACAAACAGAGAAAGGAGAACAAGAAAAAGAAAAAGGGGAAAAGAAGAAAAGGAAAGGAGAAAAACAAGACGCUGUGGGUGUCUUUCGCUCUUUUUUCUCUUCUUUUUCUCUUUAUUUUCAUUCUCGGGUGUUAAAACUGCGCUUUUUCUUCUCUUCUCUCUCCUUCUCUCUAAAAUGGG